UCCUUGUUAGCUCAGUUGGUAGAGCGCACGACUGUUAAUCGUUAGGUCGUAGGUUCGAGUCCUACACAGGGAG
rnacentral:tRNA from 1 species